GCGUAGAUAACUGCCCAGUAGUGGGGGAUAGCCCGGGGAAACCCGGAUUAAUACCGCAUACGCUCUACGGAGGAAAGGGGGCUUCGGCUCUCGCUAUUGGAUGUGUCUGCGUGGGAUUAGCUAGUUGGUGAGGUAAGGGCUCACCAAGGCGACGAUCUCUAGCUGGUCUGAGAGGAUGAUCAGCCACACUGGAACUGAGACACGGUCCAGACUCCUACGGGAGGCAGCAGUGGGGAAUAUUGCACAAUGGGCGCAAGCCUGAUGCAGCCAUACCGCGUGUGUGAAGAAGGCUCUAGGGUC
rnacentral:rRNA from 1 species